CACGUAGUUAGCCGGCGCUUCUUCCCCCACUACCAUCAACACAGCCAAAACUGUGCCUUUUUCGCGAGAAAAGGAGUUCACAACCCGAAGGCCUACACCCUCCACGCGGCGUCGCUGCAUCAAACUUUCGUCCAUUGUGCAAUAUUCCCCACUGCUGCCUCCCGUAGGAGUCUGGGCCGUAUCUCAGUCCCAGUGCGACCGACCACCCUCUCAGGCCGGCUACCCGUCAAAGCCUUGGUAAGCCAUCACCCCACCAACAAGCUGAUAGGCCGCGAGCCCACCCAAUCCCAGAAAAACCUUUCCAAACCACACCAUGCGAUGCAGCCUGAAUAUCCAGUAUUAGCAGCCGUUUCCAGCCGUUAUCCCAAAGAAAGGACAGGUUACUCACGUGUUAACUCGCCCGUUCGCCACUAAUCCACCACAGCAAGCUGCGGCUUCAUCGUUCGACUUGCAUGUGUUAAGCACGCCGCCAGCGUUCGUCCUGAGCCAGGAUCAAACUCU
rnacentral:rRNA from 1 species